rnacentral:rRNA from 1 species
UACGUAGGCAGCAAGCGUUGUUCGGAGUUACUGGGCGUGAAAGGGUGUGUAGGCGGUUGGAUAAGUGUGGUGGUGAAAUCUCCCGGCUUAACUGGGAGGGUGCGCUACAAACUGUCUGACUAGAGUGUGGGAUGGGAAAGUGGAAUUCCUGGUGUAGCGGUGAAAUGCGUAGAGAUGCGGAGGAACACCGAUGGCGAAGGCAGCCCCCUGGGCCAAUACUGACGCUCAGGCACGAAAGGCGUGGGGAGCAAACAGG